CCCACAAUUCCCUACGAUAUCUGUGCGAAGUGUCGUUCUUUUGGACUCUGCGAAAUUCAACAUUUGAAAUACAAUAGCAAGACUAAUUAUCUGUUUAUAGAAUUAGUAUCCGGAAUCAUGAUUUCUGAGUGAAAUUCAGUUGAGCGGAAAAUUAUGAGGGAACAUCUACAUCAAAGUAAUGGCAUUCCAUACAAACAAAAAUCCAAUGGGAUCAAGUUCUUAGCAGUCCCAGUCCAGUCAGAAGUACAAAGUCAACUACCAUUUACACAUCACCAAGAGUUACAAUCUGAUGAGGAACAGGAUAUUUGAACUGAAAACUUGUAAGGUUCCGCAGGCAGUUUGAGUAUCACCAGGGCAGAUUAUAAGAACAAAUAUGGAGGCCAAGUUCAUAACAAGUAGCUACUUCAUCACAAUUACACAUUUAAAAAAUUGAAUGAAUUUGAAUAAACAUGUCAAUACAUAUUGAAUGUUGCUUGCACAACACAUCUGUAGAAAAAAAUUUGGAGUAUUGAUAUUUAGGUCCAUAGGUUUCACACAAGAUUGAAAUAUUUUCCCAAAGGGCACACCUACCCACCCUUUAUUAAUGUUCUAAUCAUCUACAUGUAGUAGUAGUGAAAGAACUGUUAAUGAUAUAAGUAGUUUGAAAGGGAUAAGUUGUAUUCUGGUAAUAUAAUCAAUCCAGAAUGGGUCUUUACUGAGUUCUGGGCUAUGUACAUGCCUACAGACAUACAUAAGACAAUAAGAAAUAAUGGAUUUUCAUUUAAAAUGUGCAUACUAAAAAAAACAAGGUGACAGAACAAAGGAUUAAGAAAUCACUCUCCUGGACCCCAUUUCAUUAAGUCUAACCAUUACUCUAACUCUUUGCCAUUCUGGUAAUUACCAUGGAAACAUUAAAGUAACAUAUCAACAUUGAGGUUCCCAUGCUAGUUGCUAGUUACAAUUGGGGCAAAUUUACCAUAAUUGACGUCUUUAUGAAACAAGGAUCUGUAGUGCUGGACAUUAAGCCGUUGAAUUUAUUUUUUGGGGGAAGUGAAAAGUUACACUGUUUUGUUCGUUUUUAAUCUCUUUUUGUUCUUGUAGCACUGUAUUGUUCAUGUCCUAUUAUGAACUAAAUUAGCUCUUCAAAUGAAAAAAAACAAUUGUUGGAAAUAGAACACAGCUCUAGCAGCACUUCACAACAAUAGACAAUAAGCAAUUUUGUUACUAAUUUACUAAUGUGCAGAUUUGGGAAGGCACUCUUUAGAGAAAUGUGGCAAUGUGCUCCCUUUUUUGUGAAGUGCCCUCGGUUAGAUUAGCAUGCUAUUUCUUGUCAGCAAAUGCUGAAAAAAAAUUACUUGAUAUUUGAGUAACCGACUUUGAGAGAGAGGUAUAUCGUUAAUUUUUUUAAUGACAUCCUUGAUGUCCCCUUAUAUUGACUAAAUAAGGCUUAUCAAUACCUAUGAAAGUAAUUUUUUUUAAUUUGUUUUCUCUAGAUUUUACCAAAAAAAUUACAUCCCCUCCCUUGUGACAGCCUUGCAAUUUCUGUUGCAUUCAUUAUAUGCAUUUUGCUGAUGUAAUGUGAUGCUUUGGCGAGAAAAAGAGGAUAGGAAUAUCUUGAUCACAUAUUCAGAAAUUGAUUCCUUAAUAAAUAUUUUAAUUUGAAAUAUACUUUCUAAUUUUGAUAUUCGUGAUUUAUUUAUUCACAUUGCGUGAAAGAUAUGUGAUAAUGAUGUUAUUGCUACCAAACUGUGUUGUGAUGUAGGUAAUGAUGAUAAUGAAGAAUACUUCUAUAUGACUGGAAUAUGAUGGUGCUACUGAUUGAUUGAUUUUGUUUGUCAGGUAUCUAUGGGUAUAAUACUAGUACAACAGGUAAGAGUAUAACAAAGUAUCAAAAUACCAUGCAUGCAUGGCAAGAUAGCCCAUAAAAAUAUGGCAUACUGUGACAUUUUGAGAUCAGGUGCAGCCAAAUUAGAUAUUCUUCCUAAAGAGAUAAAUGAGUUUGAUACUUUGAUUUAAGAGUGGGAUAAAAAUUAUAUGAGAAUAAUUGUUUGCUCACAUGAUUAUGUGGUACAUAUGUAUGUGUGUGUGUGGAAGAGAGGGGGAAAGGUGGGAUCGAUGGAUAGAUUUUGGGGCGGGCAGGUACAAAUAAAAUUUCAUCUUGUUUGGAAGUGACCUUUUUAAGAUAGCCUUGAUGAGAGUGAAUUCAUGAGGGGGGGGGGGGUACUGGGCUGUCUUAAUUUUGCUCCCAUCCCAAACUCAGAUUUUUUUUUUUUUAAUCUUUAUAAGAUUUGCACCAGAUUGUUCAUUUCAAUUUCAAAAUAAAGACAAAAUGGCCUUCUAAAUUGCUUUGCUCUCUUGCUCAGAUUUCUCUGAUCAUUUUAAGUAUUUACCCCCCCCCCCCCUAAAAAAAACCCCAAACAUAUAAAUAAUUAUGGCUAUUAAUGAUGUGUAAUGAAAAUAAUAUGCAGUGAUGACUGCAUGAAUAGAUCGAGCAAGCAGAUCCCUAAGUUCAAUCCUAUUAAUGAAUUCCUUGUAAGCAUCCACAUUUCUUCAAGGGAAAUAGCUAUAGCAAAUAAAUAAUUUUAUUAAUUGAUGUAGUAAUAAUCACGACAGGAAAAUAUGUAAACAAGGAACGAUGAAUUAACAACUGAAUACCGGGGGGUGAACGGGGGAAUGAAUGACAUCAUCUACCUUAUUAAUAUUAUUUACCUGAGACGCAACUCUAUGAAUUCAUUUCAUAAUCAAUCACGUCGCGCAUUAUGCUAAUUAGUAACAAUAUACUUAUUUGCAUAUCUUUACGCUGUGCGCGCAGGCCAAUUAUGACCACGCCUCCGUUUCGCUGGUGUGCCAUGAAGUUGUGGUGUCCAUAGGCUUGUACGCGAAAAAUGGGAGCAGUGUGCACUUUUGACCUUCCAAAAUUUCCCCAUGUCUAACCGGAUGCAGAAGCGGAGUUUCACCCCCGAUCCCGGCGCCCGCACGCGAUGUUUUGAAGUCGGCAGCGCAUUAAUAUUUAUACGUGUGUGGAACUUCAUAUUGGCUCUAAAUCAUCAAUUUUGAGACUGAUAGAAGCAUGGAAAAGAAGUGAAACUUUGUGUAAACAAGGGGGAGGGGACACUUCCAUUUGAUGAGUGGACACCAUGCGUGACCCCCAAAACAUGUAAAAAGGAUCUCUUUGUCAAGAUCAGGCACA